rnacentral:lncRNA from 1 species
AGGUAACCGAGCUGCAUACUCCCAUAACAAAACCGCAGUCCACGGAGAGGUUUAUGCCUCCAAUCCACCAGAUACCAUCGAAACCUCAAUUCUCUGGAGGCCCCGAAUGUGGAGGGAGUGCUCUAAACGAUAACCUGUUUCAGUUAGCAUCUGGGAAGCGGUUUCAAGCGUCGGCAGCAUCUAAAGCAAGAGCGGCUGCAUUGUUCGAAUCAGAAGUAGAACCUGCCGGCGAUAGUCUUUUCAAGUUAGCCUCUGGGAAGCAAUUUCAGGCCUCUGCAGCAGCGAAAGCAAGAGCAGCUGCGAUGUUCGAAUCGGAUGUUGAGCCUGCUGGCGAGAAUCUUUUUAAUUCAGCUUCCGCAAAGCUCUUUCAGGCAUCACCAGCAGCGAAAGCAAGGGCAGCUGCAUUGUUUGAAUCGGAUGUUGAGCCUGCUGGCGAGAGUCUUUUCAAGCUAGCUUCCGGAAAGCCCUUUCAGGCAUCAGCAGCAGCGAAAGCAAGGGCAGCUGCAUUGUUUGAAUCGGAUGCGGACGCUAUGGAUCAUAUGUCUUUUGAUGACUAGGUAUAUAAUUCUGGACAGCGGAGGAUAGGUCAGCGUUUUCACGGUCAUGAUGCUGUAGUAGUAGACGGAUGGAUUCAGUCGAGAGUCUUAAUCUCGCUACACCAUCAGAUGAGGGGAAAUGGUAGCUUGUAAUUUUCUUAUGAUUAAUGAUAUUGGCAGUUUGUAGAUGUGGUGGUGGUGGAGAGAUUGGUAGUUGGUCCAGUAUUGACGAAUGUUACCGCUGCUUGAAAAAGAACAAGAAAAGACCAUCAUCGCUGUAUGCAAUGGGAUCCAUCUCAGUACUGUGCUUAGAAAUCUCUGACGAGGACAAUAUGGAGUUAAGUAAAUCUUAUCGAGAAUAGAGUCUAACAAUCAGAUGUAGCGUUCCUCUCUAUCGCAGCAACAGAUUUACAAGGGAGUAAAAACGCGUGUCACAAGUUGGAGAAGGAGAGCAUUGGCAGCAUUCACAUGGUUUCCCACUAGGACCUCAAUGAAUCCUGAUUCCUUGGGCCACAGACUAUGACUUAGGGUUUUGUUCACUAGUUUGCAAGUUGUUUCCCGAUAUGACUGUAUUAUCAUAUGUGGGUUUCCUUGCCGAGUAAGAUCAAGCAGAACUGCAGCAUUCAAUUUGUGGGCCUGACGAUGACCAGUCUAUUGUUUGGUAGUGGUACAACAGAACGUAUUUUAGCGGAGUAAUAGGAUUACUCAUUUCUUUUAAGAGCGGAGGGCUUCAUCAUGGGUGGAGGCAAUACAGAUCUGUCUACCAUGAAGCUCGACGGCAUAUGUACAUGAUGUGACCAGUUGCAAAGGUAUUUGUAAGUUCUUUUAACCAGUCCUUCUGUAUAUAGAGCAGCUAAGGCUGUAACUGUAUACAUAUGUGUAUUUCCUAUUUUUUAGAAGGUUAACCAAGUAUUGAAGAUUAUUUUCUACA